CGGGUUACCUGUUAUUAAAGCAGUUCCUCUGCAGGAAAGAAAGUCUACCAUCGGGCAGGAGGUACAGAAGCCUGAAGUCCCCACACCACCAGGUUCAGGAACAGCGACUUCCCUUCGACCAUUUGGUUCUUGAACUAACUGGCACAAUCCUAAUCACUACAGCAGGAGUACAGUGCAAGACAUAAAAAUUACUAGAAGUUACGAAAAAGUAAAUAAAUAGUGCAGAAGAGGAAUAACGAGGUCGUGUUCAUGGUUUCAUGGACCGUUCAGAAAUCUGAUGGCGGAGGGGAAGAAGCUGUUCCUGAAUCAUUGAGUGUGGGUCUUCAGGCUCCUGUACCUCCUCCCCAAUGGUAAU